GAUGAACGCUAGCGGCAGGCUUAACACAUGCAAGUCGAGGGGCAGCGCGAUGUAGCAAUACAUUGGCGGCGACCGGCGCACGGGUGCGUAACACGUAUGGAAUCUGCCCUGUACUGGAAGAUAACCCGGCGAAAGUCGGACUAAUACCCCAUAAUAGCCGAGGUGGCAUCACCUUGGUUUGAAAGCUCCGGCGGUACAGGAUGACCAUGCGCACGAUUAGCUAGUUGGUGAGGUAACGGCUCACCAAGGCUACGAUCGUUAGGGGGCCUGAGAGGGUUAUCCCCCACACUGGUACUGAGACACGGACCAGACUCCUACGGGAGGCAGCAGUGAGGAAUAUUGCGCAAUGGAGGCAACUCUGACGCAGCCAUGCCGCGUGCAGGAAGAAGGCGCUACGCGUUGUAAACUGCUUUUAUCCGGGAAGAAACCCCAGGACGUGUCCUGGGUUGACGGUACCGGAGGAAUAAGCACCGGCUAACUUCGUGCCAGCAGACG
rnacentral:rRNA from 1 species